rnacentral:rRNA from 1 species
GUAGGGCGCAAGCGUUGUCCGGAAUUAUUGGGCGUAAAGAGCUCGUAGGCGGCUUGUCACGUCGGGUGUGAAAGCCCGGGGCUUAACCCCGGGUCUGCAUUCGAUACGGGCUAGCUAGAGUGUGGUAGGGGAGAUCGGAAUUCCUGGUGUAGCGGUGAAAUGCGCAGAUAUCAGGAGGAACACCGGUGGCGAAGGCGGAUCUCUGGGCCAUUACUGACGCUGAGGAGCGAAAGCGUGGGGAGCGAACAGGAUUAGAUACCCUGGUAGUCCACGCCGUAAACGGUGGGAACUAGGUGUUGGCGACAUUCCACGUCGUCGGUGCCGCAGCUAACGCAUUAAGUUCCCCGCCUGGGGAGUACGGCCGCAAGGCUAAA